GGAGAAGGGCUUGGCUCAGUGGUAGAGCGUGUGCUUUUGCAUGUGAAAGGUCCCAGGUUCAAUCCCUGACGUCUCCA